UAGGGAAUCUUCCACAAAUGGACGCAAGUCUGAUGGAGCAACGCCGCGUGAGUGAAGAAGGGUUUCGGCUCGUAAAGCUCUGUUGUUAAAGAAGAACGUGGGUAAGAGUAACUGUUUACCCAGUGACGGUAUUUAACCAGAAAGCCACGGCUAACUACGUGCCAC
rnacentral:rRNA from 1 species